rnacentral:rRNA from 1 species
UAACACGUGGGUAACCUGCCUGUAAGACUGGGAUAACUCCGGGAAACCGGAGCUAAUACCGGAUAGUUCCUUGAACCGCAUGGUUCAAGGAUGAAAGACGGUUUCGGCUGUCACUUACAGAUGGACCCGCGGCGCAUUAGCUAGUUGGUGGGGUAAUGGCUCACCAAGGCGACGAUGCGUAGCCGACCUGAGAGGGUGAUCGGCCACACUGGGACUGAGACACGGCCCAGACUCCUACGGGAGGCAGCAGUAGGGAAUCUUCCGCAAUGGACGAAAGUCUGACGGAGCAACGCCGCGUGAGUGAUGAAGGUUUUCGGAUCGUAAAGCUCUGUUGUUAGGGAAGAACAAGUGCGAGAGUAACUGCUCGCACCUUGACGGUACCUAACCAGAAAGCCACGGCUAACUACGUGCCAGCAGCCGCGGUAAUACGUAGGUGGCAAGCGUUGUCCGGAAUUAUUGGGCGUAAAGGGCUCGCAGGCGGUUUCUUAAGUCUGAUGUGAAAGCCCCCGGCUCAACCGGGGAGGGUCAUUGGGAAACUGGGGAAACUUGAGUGCAGAAGAGGAGAGUGGAAUUCCACGUGUAGCGGUGAAAUGCGUAGAGAUGUGGAGGAACACCAGUGGCGAAGGCGACUCCUCUGGUCUGUAACUGACGCUGAGGAGCGAAAGCGUGGGGAGCGACAGGAUUAGAUACCCUGGUAGUCCAUCCGUAAACGAUGAGUGCUAAGUGUUAGGGGGUUUCCGCCCGUAGUGCUGCAGGUAACGCAUUAAGCACUCCGCCUGGGGAGUACGGUCGCAAGACUGAAACUCAAAGGAAUUGACGGGGGCCCGCACAAGCGGUGGAGCAUGUGGUUUAAUUCGAAGCAACGCGAAGAACCUUACCAGGUCUUGACAUCCUCUGACAACCCUAGAGAUAGGGCUUUCCCUUCGGGGACAGAGUGACAGGUGGUGCAUGGUUGUCGUCAGCUCGUGUCGUGAGAUGUUGGGUUAAGUCCCGCAACGAGCGCAACCCUUGAUCUUAGUUGCCAGCAUUCAGUUGGGCACUCUAAGGUGACUGCCGGUGACAAACCGGAGGAAGGUGGGGAUGACGUCAAAUCAUCAUGCCCCUUAUGACCUGGGCUACACACGUGCUACAAUGGACAGAGCAACAGGGCUGCGAGA